rnacentral:rRNA from 1 species
CCUACGGGUGGCUGCAGUGAGGAAUAUUGGUCAAUGGACGAGAGGCUGAACCAGCCAAGUAGCGUGAGGGAUGACUGCCCUAUGGGUUGUAAACUUCUUUUAUAUGGGAAUAAUACAGGGUAUGCAUACCAUCUUGUAUGUACCAUAUGAAUAAGGAUCGGCUAACUCCGUGCCAGCAGCCGCGGUAAUACGGAGGAUCCGAGCGUUAUCCGGAUUUAUUGGGUUUAAAGGGAGCGUAGGUGGAUUGUUAAGUCAGUUGUGAAAGUUUGCGGCUCAACCGUAAAAUUGCAGUUGAAACUGGCAGUCUCGAGUACAGUAGAGGUAUGCGGAAUGCGUGGUGUAGCGGUGAAAUGCUUAGAUAUCACGAAGAACUCCGAUUGCGAAGGCAGCUCACUGGACUGCAACUGACACUGAUGCUCGAAAGUGUGGGUAUCAAACAGGAUUAGAUACCCUAGUAGUC